GACGAACGCUGGCGGCGUGCUUAACACAUGCAAGUCGAACGGUGAAGCGCCUUCCUUUUUGGUGGGUGUGGAUGAGUGGCGAACGGGUGAGUAACACGUGAGUAACCUGCCCCCUUCUUCUGGAUAACCGCAUGAAAGUGUGGCUAAUACGGGAUAUUCUGGGUCUGUCGCAUGAUGGGUCUGGGAAAGAUAUUGUUUCGGUGGGGGAUGGGCUCGCGGCCUAUCAGCUUGUUGGUGGGGUGAUGGCCUACCAAGGCGGUGACGGGUAGCCGGCCCGAGAGGGUGGACGGUCACACUGGGACUGAGACACGGCCCAGACUCCUACGGGAGGCAGCAGUGGGGAAUAUUGCACAAUGGGCGCAAGCCUGAUGCAGCGACGCCGCGUGAGGGAUGGAGGCCUGCGGGUUGUGAACCUCUUUCGCCAGUGAAGCAGGCCUGCCUCGUUUGUGGGUGGGUUGACGGUAGCUGGAUAAGAAGCGCCGGCUAACUACGUG
rnacentral:rRNA from 1 species